GAUGAACGCUGGCGGCGUGCCUAAUACAUGCAAGUCGAACGCAUAGCGAAAGGUGCUUGCACCUUUCAAGUGAGUGGCGAACGGGUGAGUAACACGUGGACAACCUGCCUCAAGGCUGGGGAUAACAUUUGGAAACAGAUGCUAAUGCCGAAUAAAACUUAGUGUCGCAUGACACAAAGUUAAAAGGCGCUUCGGCGUCACCUAGAGAUGGAUCCGCGGUGCAUUAGUUAGUUGGUGGGGUAAAGGCCUACCAAGACAAUGAUGCAUAGCCGAGUUGAGAGACUGAUCGGCCACAUUGGGACUGAGACACGGCCCAAACUCCUACGGGAGGCUGCAGUAGGGAAUCUUCCACAAUGGGCGAAAGCCUGAUGGAGCAACGCCGCGUGUGUGAUGAAGGCUUUCGGGUCGUAAAGCACUGUUGUAUGGGAAGAACAGCUAGAAUAGGAAAUGAUUUUAGUUUGACGGUACCAUACCAGAAAGGGACGGCUAAAUACGUG
rnacentral:rRNA from 1 species